UACGUAGGGGGCGAGCGUUAUCCGGAAUCAUUGGGCGUAAAGGGCGCGUAGGCGGAUAUUUAAGUCAGGUGUGAAAACCCAGGGCUCAACCUUGGGAUUGCAUCUGAUACUGGGUAUCUUGAGGACAGGAGAGGAAAGUGGAAUUCCUAGUGUAGCGGUGAAAUGCGUAGAUAUUAGGAGGAACACCAGUGGCGAAGGCGACUUUCUGGACCGUAACUGACGCUGAGGCGCGAAAGCGUGGGGAGCAAACAGG
rnacentral:rRNA from 1 species